AGCAGCCGCGGUAAUUCCAGCUCCAAUAGCGUAUAUUAAAGUUGUUGCAGUUAAAAAGCUCGUAGUUGAAUUUCGGGAUCAAAGGAUCGGUCAUGCCUUGGUAUGUACUGGUUUUAUUGGUUCUCACCUUCUAAAGAACCAUAAUGUCAUUCAUUUGAUGUUAUGGGGAAUUAGGACUGUUACCUUGAAAAAUUAGAGUGUUUAAAGCAGGCUUACGCUUGAAUACAUUAGCAUGGAAUAAUGAAAUAGGACAUCAGAUUCUAUUUUGUUGGUUUCUAGGAUCGAUGUAAUGAUUAAUAGGGAUAGUUGGGGGCAUUAGUAUUCAAUUGUCAGAGGUGAAAUUCUUGGAUUUAUUGAAGACUAACUACUGCGAAAGCAUUUGCCAAGGAUGUUUUCAUUAAUCAAGAACGAAAGUUAGGGGAUCGAAGACGAUCAGAUACCGUCGUAGUCUUAAACCAUAAACUAUGCCGACUAGGGAUCGGAUGGAUGUUAAUUUUAUAAUG
rnacentral:misc_RNA from 1 species